AAGACCCCGCGCCUCUCUGUCGUGGCGCGGCCUCCCGCGGUCUCCUCUGCAAAUGGGCUCCGUGGCCUAGCGCCCCCGUCCCCGCCACCCGUGAUCGUGCGCCGAGGCCCGCGAGGGGUCGCCGCCCAGAUCCCACCAGCCAGCAAGCUAGAGCAUGGCGGCCAUCCCCUCCAGCGGCUCGCUCGUGGCCACCCACGACUACUACCGGCGCCGCCUGGGUUCCACUUCCAGCAACAGCUCCUGCAGCAGUACCGAGUGCCCCGGGGAAGCCAUUCCCCACCCGCCAGGUCUCCCCAAGGCUGACCCGGGUCAUUGGUGGGCCAGCUUCUUUUUCGGGAAGUCCACCCUCCCGUUCAUGGCCACGGUGUUGGAGUCCGCAGAGCACUCGGAACCCCGCCAGGCCUCCAGCAGCAUGACCACCUGUGGCCUGGCUCGGGACGCCCCGAGGAAGCAGCCCGGCGGUCCGUCCAGCACAGCCAGCGCUGGGCCCCCGUCCUGACCUGAGCGGUUACCAACAGCCGCAGGCCUGCGGAGGCGCUAGUCCACCAGAGCCCCUCCCCGCCCCCUCCCCACUCCCCACCCCACCCCCUCCCCGCUCCCCGCCCCCCUCCCCACCCCCCCCCCCACCCCCUACCCUGUAGACUAGGCGGCUGCAGCAAGCAGAUCUUCGCAUCAACACAGCAGACACCAAAAAGGAGUGAGAGCCCCGCUCUCUACCGCCCGGUCCCAGCCAGCACUCGCUAGCUUUCCUGACACCUGGAACUGUGCACCUGGCACCAAGCGGAAAAUAAACUCCAAGCAGCCAGUAAAAAAAAAAAAAAAAAA